GGGAAGGGAAGGGAAGGGAAGGGAAGGGAAGGGAAGGGAAGGGAAGGGAAGGGAAGGGAAGGGAAGGGAAGGGAAGGGAAGGAAAAAGGAGAAAGGGAAGGAGAAGGAGAAACGGAAGGAAACCCCCUCUUUCCCCUGCCUUUGAUUCUGGACCCCACUCAGCUGGGGCAUUGCCUCUCUCCAUCCCUCCUCAGAAGCAGCUAAAAUGGUUUCCAGCCUCUGUGGGGCAGCUGUGGAAGCAACAGGAGCUCCCCCAGCACAAAAUUCAGGCACAGGCUGGUUCCUGAGCUGGUUCCUGCCCGGGGUGGAUGUUACCAGCCAGGGAAGCACUACCUUGGGGCUUCCCAGAGAUGCUGAUGCAUCCUUGCAAAAUCCCCCUCGGCACCUGGAAAACGUCAUCCCAAAGCUCUCCCGAAUGCCAGAAGACCCCAAGCUCUUUGUGGGGCUGAUAUCCAAUGGUAAGAAACACGAUCAGCAUCAGGUUGGUGUCGGGAAGAGCCACACAUUCCUUCGGGCAUCUCCUGCAAGCCUCGAGGGUACCUGCCCUCCUCUGGACCGCUGCAUCGCUGCUCGAAAGCAUCGCGGAUGUUCCUCCCUGCCUCUCCCGAGUGCCGGAGGAUGUGUUUAGGACCCGGGCUGAGCAGCUCCUCCUCCAUUCCAGGUCUCUCCAGGGUUAUUGCUUGGUGGGAGGUAGGUUCAGGGCUCGGUGGUAUGAAUGAAAGAGAGAGAGAGAGAGAGAGGAAAUCGGCGCUGAAAAGCUCAAACUGGAAUAGCUCGCCUGUCUCCAGGCAACAGCCCUGACGCAACCGCUGGGGAAAAAAAAAAAAAAAAAAAAGUCCCCUAAAUGAAAAAAAAAAAAAAAGGCAAAAAACAACAAACCAACCACCACACGCACAGAUCGCUGGAGCGAGACACAGAGGAGGAGGAGGAGGAGGAUGAGACAGGCUCCGGGAGGAGGCACUGGUGACACCGCUCUGCGAACACCAAGUUGGGGAGCCGAGGUGCAAGGAGGGAGCCGAGAUGUCCGUGCCAUAAUCCCCGAUUCGACUCCAGCCCCGGUUGCCCUAUUUCAUCUGGACCUGAUUUGCCCAGAUGGGGAAAUGUGGGUUGGCCAGGCAGAAAAUCAGCAAAACCAGACAUCCCAACCUCCAGCAGCAACCACUGCUGUCUCCAGAGAACUUUGGGGUCAGGGAAUGUGUCCUGGCCUCCUUGGCCACCCUUCUGUGGCCCCAGGAGUUAAGAUUGGAGGUGUGGGUAACCAGAGCUUUGCUGAAAGCCAGAGCCUGUCUGUUCCUGCCCCAGAGCACUCAGAUAACCGAGGUGAGGUCACCCUCCCCUGCAGCACCUUGGCACUGAGCCUCUCCCAAAACCCUCACAAGAGCUGUCUCUCUUUUCUCACUCCCUUUUCCUUCUCAAAACCAAUCCUUUU
rnacentral:lncRNA from 1 species